rnacentral:lncRNA from 1 species
GAGCUGAGCGGGGGUUGGAGCGCAGAGCCCCCGAGGGCGCUGGACAGUGCUGGGCGCUAUCGCAGCGCACCUGGAGGGGCCAGAACUCCGAGGGGCGCUGUGCCCAGAUCACCAAGAGCAGAGGGCGCCUCAUCCAACGAGCGCUCUUGGGGUCUUUGCCAAGAGGCAGCUCUGGCCCCUUCUAGUACCUAAAGUCAAUCCUGAGACCCCAGACAUGUCCAGAGACAUCCUGAAGAGACUGAGCAACUAAGGAGCCUUAAGGUAUCCAUAAGGAGAUUCCUGAAGCCAUCUCAGAGUCAGAGAGUUGGCCUGCCAUUUGGUGAGUUUUCUAGAUUGAGGUUACCCUCCCUCUAACCGUCAUU